UCCUAGUUGACCUAGGCAGUCUCGCUAGAGUUCCCGACAUUACUCGCUGGCAACUAACGAUAAGGGUUGCGCUCGUUGCUGGACUUAACCAAACACCUCACGGCACGAGCUGACGACAGCCAUGCAGCACCUCUCCAGCGGCCUUACGGCGAUAUCGUUUCUGAUAUCUUCCACUGAAGUUCAAGCCCAGGUAAGGUUCUUCGCGUUGCAUCGAAUUAAACCACAUGCUCCACUGCUUGUGCGGGCCCCCGUCAAUUCUUUUGAGUUUCACCCUUGCGAGCGUACUCCCCAGGCGGCAUACUUAUCGUGUUAACUUCGAAACGAAAGGGGUUGAAUCCUCUCACUUCUAGUAUGCAUCGUUUACGGUGUGGACUAC
rnacentral:misc_RNA from 1 species